UAGCUACACAUGCAGUCGAACGGCAGCACAGGAGAGCUUGCUCUCUGGGUGGCGAGUGGCGGACGGGUGAGGAAUACAUCGGAAUCUACUUUUUCGUGGGGGAUAACGUAGGGAAACUUACGCUAAUACCGCAUACGACCUACGGGUGAAAGCAGGGGAUCUUCGGACCUUGCGCGAUUGAAUGAGCCGAUGUCGGAUUAGCUAGUUGGCGGGGUAAAGGCCCACCAAGGCGACGAUCCGUAGCUGGUCUGAGAGGAUGAUCAGCCACACUGGAACUGAGACACGGUCCAGACUCCUACGGGAGGCAGCAGUGGGGAAUAUUGGACAAUGGGCGCAAGCCUGAUCCAGCCAUACCGCGUGGGUGAAGAAGGCCUUCGGGUUGUAAAGCCCUUUUGUUGGGAAAGAAAUCCAGCUGGUUAAUACCCGGUUGGGAUGACGGUACCCAAAGAAUAAGCACCGGCUAACUUCGUGCCAGCAGCCGCGGUAAUACGAAGGGUGCAAGCGUUACUCGGAAUUACUGGGCGUAAAGCGUGCGUAGGUGGUCGUUUAAGUCCGUUGUGAAAGCCCUGGGCUCAACCUGGGAACUGCAGUGGAUACUGGACGACUAGAGUGUGGUAGAGGGUAGCGGAAUUCCUGGUGUAGCAGUGAAAUGCGUAGAGAUCAGGAGGAACAUCCAUGGCGAAGGCAGCUACCUGGACCAACACUGACACUGAGGCACGAAAGCGUGGGGAGCAAACAGGAUUAGAUACC
rnacentral:rRNA from 14 species